GCCAUGUUACAAGAGUAAAAUGGAAGGAAAACAGUCCAGCCGGGAAGAAAGAACAAAGUGUCGCCAUUCUUUUCCAUAUCCGAUGGGUUUAUCGAUCUUGGACAUAAUUUAAAGAAUUCAUCGCAAAGGCCCAAGAAUCCGAGAAAGCCCAACAAAGGUCAGGGAAUCGCCGCCAGUUGCCCAGUAUUGACCAUGACCCCCGAGGACCCCUACUACAACAGGCGCGUGAGGGGGACUGUGCUGCACCGCUACAGGAAUUCUGUGACUCUGGGAAUCCUCGCCCUGUCCGGCCUCAUUGGAUUCGCCUU